rnacentral:rRNA from 1 species
AUUGAACGCUGGCGGCAGGCUUAACACAUGCAAGUCGAACGAGUGGCGGACGGGUGAGUAAUGCUUGGGAAUCUAGCUUAUGGAGGGGGAUAACUACGGGAAACUGUCGCUAAUACCGCGUACCAUAGUAUGAGCCCAAGUGGGCUUAGGUAGUUGGUGAGGGAAAGGCUCACCAAGCCGACGAUCUCUAGCUGGUCUGCGAGGAUGACCAGCCACACUGGGACGGAGAAACGGCCCAGACUCCGACGGUAGGCAGCAGUGGGGAAUAUUGCGCAAUGGGGGCAACCCUGAUGCAGCCAUGCCGCGUGUAGGAAGAAGGCCUUAGGGUUGUAAAGUACAUUCAGCGGGGAGGCGUUACCAGCAGAUGAAGCACCGGCUAACUCCGUGCCAGCCGCCGCGGUAAUAC